UGGGGUUUAGCUCAGCAGCAUAAGCGCCUGCCUGGCAAGCAUGAGGUCCUGAGUUCAAUCCCCAGUACCCAAA
rnacentral:tRNA from 1 species